rnacentral:rRNA from 1 species
GACAGAGGAUGCAAGCGUUAUCCGGAAUUAUUGGGCGUAAAGAGCUCGUAGGCGGUUUGUCGCGUCUGCCGUGAAAGUCCGGGCUCAACUCCGGAUCUGCGGUGGGUACGGGCAGACUAGAGUGAUGUAGGGGAGACUGGAAUUCCUGGUGUAGCGGUGAAAUGCGCAGAUAUCAGGAGGAACACCGAUGGCGAAAGGCAGGUCUCUGGGCAUUAACUGACGCUGAGGAGCGAAAGCAUGGGGAGCGAACAGG